UACGUAGGGGGCAAGCGUUGUCCGGAUUUACUGGGCGUAAAGAGCGUGUAGGCGGCCAAACAGGUCCGUUGUGAAAACUGGAGGCUCAACCUCCAGACGUCGACGGAAACCGUGUGGCUAGAGUCCGGAAGAGGAGAGUGGAAUUCCAGGUGUAGCGGUGAAAUGCGUAGAUAUCUGGAGGAACACCGGUGGCGAAGGCGGCAUCCUGGACCGGUAUUGACGCUGAGACGCGAAAGCGUGGGGAGCGAACAGG
rnacentral:rRNA from 1 species